rnacentral:tRNA from 1 species
GCAGUGGUGGUUCUGUGGUAGAACUCUUGCCUUUUCUGUGGGAGACCUGGGUUCCAUUCCCAGCCAAUGCA